UUGGACAGCUUCCCAGAGCUUUGGCCGUCGCUCCGGUCUUCUGCCAUGACAUCAAUCUUUGGACCGCCGGCGACUGGCCUUGUUCUGGGAUGAACUUGAACAGA
rnacentral:pre_miRNA from 1 species